rnacentral:rRNA from 1 species
CUACGGGUGGCUGCAGUGGGGAAUAUUGCACAAUGAGCGAAAGCUUGAUGCAGCCAUACCGCGUGUGUGAAGAAGGCCCGAGGGUUGUAAAGCACUUUCAAUUGGGAGGAAGAUAGAGUAGUUAAUACCUGCUUUAUUUGACGUUACCUUUAGAAGAAGCACCGGCUAACUCUGUGCCAGCAGCCGCGGUAAUACAGAGGGUGCAAGCGUUAUUCGGAAUUACUGGGCGUAAAGCGCGCGUAGGCGGAUUAGUAAGUCAGUUGUGAAAGCCCUGGGCUCAACCUAGGAACUGCAUCUGAUACUGCUAGUCUAGAGUUUAGUAGAGGGAAGGGGAAUUCCAGGUGUAGCAGUGACAUGCGUAGAUAUCUGGAGGAACAUCAGUGGCGAAGGCGCCUUCCUGGACUAAAACUGACGCUGAGGUGCGAAAGCGUGGGUAGCGAACGGGAUUAGAUACCCUGGUAGUC